rnacentral:lncRNA from 10 species
GGAAGGAAGGAAGAGGGGAAGGAGGGGGGAGGAGGAAGGAAUGAAGAGAGAAAGGAAGGCAGGGAAGGAGGGGAGAGAGGGAGGAAGGGGGAAAGGAAAGAAGGAAGGAAGAAGGAAAGAAGAAAGGAAGGAAAAAAGGAAGGGAAAGAGGAAGGGAAAGAGGAAGGAAGGAAGGAAGGAAGGGCAAUUGGUACUAAAUUCUUGUAGUGCCCAGGCACUCUUCCCCUAGUGGGCAGGGCAGAGAGACUGUGAAAGGUGGAGAUGAAGGAGAGCCAUCAUUUCACUCUUGAGAAAGGACGGAGCAGGCUGUGUGGAAGAGAUGAGAUCUGGGAUAAAUUGGAAAAGAUGGUCACAGGACGGCUGCCUCAGCUCCAAACAGCAACAUCUGAAGGAGAAAGCUGCAGGCCCGGACUGGAUGGCUUUGGCUAAGGAACCAACGCAGGUGGAGAAGGAGGCUGACGAUGGAGCCCAGGCACUCCAGCCUUGAAGGAGGAGAACCUGACCCUGAGCCUGCAUGGCAGCCGUGCGGGGGGACUUCGGGGGGUUUCCCCUUUGCUUCCAUCCAAAGAAAGUGCCCCACGUUUGAAAGCCUCUGUGCUGAAUGCUCCCAAUGCCCUCCGAUUCCAUCUAGGUCGUCCCUACCACCAAGGCAGGUGUGUGAAUUCACCCGCACAGCUCACCGUCCUGGGAGGGUGACGCUGGAGGAGGGACGUCCCUACCAUCAAGGCAGGUGUGUGAAUUCACCCGCACAGUUCACCGUCCUGGGAGGGUGACGCUGGAGGAGGGACGUCCCUACCAUCAAGGCAGGUGUGUGAAUUCACCCGCACAGUUCACCGUCCUGGGAGGGUGACGCUGGAGGAGGGACAUCCCUACCAUCAAGGCAGGUGUGUGAAUUCACUCGCACAGUUCACCGUCCUGGGAGGGUGACGCUGGAGUAGGGAUGUCCCUCCGGGGUCUCUUCAGCAUCUGCCCUUCUCCACCACAUAAGUUCGUCAGUGAGGGGGAGUCACGCAGCUGGGAGCAUGGAGUGCAGUGCGCAGGCCCCUUGCCCGGGGCCAGGCUCCCUCUGCCUCAUUGCCGCUAAGAGGCUGCCCUUUCUGGCCUGGACAUCUCCUGGGACUGUGGGCCCUCACAGCCCUGGGCAGUCUGGACAGGACGGACUGUGCUUCUCAUGGGGCAGCACUUCCUCCACUGCAGACGCUGCCACCUGCCCCCUCCCUCCCUGCUGGAAGCCUCUGGUCUCCAGGC